AACGAACGCUGGCGGCAUGCCUAACACAUGCAAGUCGAACGAGACCUUCGGGUCUAGUGGCGAACGGGUGCGUAACGCGUAGGAACCUGCCCUUAGGUUCGGAAUAACUCCCCGAAAGGGGUGCUAAUACCGGAUAAUGUCUUCGGACCAAAGAUUUAUCGCCUUUGGAUGGGCCCGCGUUGGAUUAGCUAGUUGGUAGGGUAAAAGCCUACCAAGGCGACGAUCCAUAGCUGGUCUGAGAGGAUGAUCAGCCACACUGGGACUGAGACACGGCCCAGACUCCUACGAGAGGCAGCAGUGGGGAAUAUUGGACAAUGGGCGAAAGCAUGAUCCAGCAAUGCCGCGUGAAUGAUGAAGGCCUUAGGGUUGUAAAGCUCUUUUACCCGGGAUGAUAAUGACAGUACCGGGAGAAUAAGCUCCGGCUAACUCCGUG
rnacentral:rRNA from 1 species